CACGUAGGGCGCAAGCGUUGUCCGGAAUUAUUGGGCGUAAAGAGCUCGUAGGCGGUUGGGUAAGUCGGGUGUGAAAACUCAGGGCUCAACUCUGAGACGCCACUCGAUACUGCUCUGACUCGAGUCCGGUAGGGGAGCGUGGAAUUCCCGGUGUAGCGGUGAAAUGCGCAGAUAUCGGGAGGAACACCAGUGGCGAAGGCGGCGCUCUGGGCCGGAACUGACGCUGAGGAGCGAAAGCGUGGGUAGCAAACAGG
rnacentral:rRNA from 1 species